CACAGCUAAGCGUUUGAGGCUGGAUUUGAACUCAUGAAGCAAAGAAUCUCUGGCCAGAAAAUGCUCAAAUUCAAGAAUAAUCAGAAACUUACCUGUGCAGAAGCAUUCAGAAGACCUGAUGAAGUGCCUUCAGAUUCUGGCUCCAGCUAAGGUGUGCUACCUAAGACUAAGGGGUAAAGGACAACAAUUCUCCCACCUCUUGCAUCAUCAGUACACAUAAGGAAACCAAAAACUCUUCAUGCACUGCUAGACCCUUUUCUCCCAAGCUUGAACAGACCCAAGUUCUGCUUCUUUGGGCAAAGUUUGAAAUAUGUUAUUGUUUUAUUUAUUUGCCUGUAUGUGAUUAAAACAACCAUUAAAUACUGUUUUCAAGAUAAAUAUUCCUUAGUACUUAUGGAAUUAUUUUUCAAAAGAACAGGACUUCUACCUUACCCUGAAUACCUGAACUACCUUUGGA